GUCAUAGCAUAGAAGGCACAUUCAGGCCCAGAAACACACAGUCAAAAUUCUAGUUCCGUUCGGAGCGGACGUGUGAAAAAUCAGAUCCCAGUAAAAAACAAAAAAAAUAAAAUUUUAGUUUUUGUCUUGGGUCUUACAGACAACGCACUGAUCCUGCACCGUCGAGGGAUGUCCCAAAUGCGCAGAGGGCCUCGAUGGAUGCCUUGCGGAUGACCUCCUGGAAGUCAUCAAAAGCGUCGAACUGCGAGUUCCUUCAAGAUUAAUGACGCCUCCUCCUUUUCCAAGACAAAGUCGUUAUCCAUUUGCAACUCGUUCGAAUCCUUAUUGCCAUCGGCCUCAUCAUGAUUCUUGUUGACAUUGUCGUAUUUUGUGGAUGCCACCAUUUGAAGCAUGCGUUCGGUAAUCUUCACGGAACGCGGGGGCCAUAUUCUCAAUCACAACGAACGAUAGUCCGCCCGUUUCAGGUCUGGAUCAGCUGGUCCCAGCGUUGCACUCAAACAGACUGAGAACAAACCGUAACUAUUAUAUGAACAGAAUAGGCCAUGACAAUUUUGCAUUACCGAUCCAUCAGAACUGACAAAUGUGGCACAAGCGCAUCCCCAAGGCUCUCGCAGACAACUUCCAGAGCAGAAGAUGCGACUCAUGCAGUUGGCGAUCGAGGUCAGUGCAUCGAUGCACUCCGUACUACUCCGCCGAACGCGCGAACAAAACUGCAAUGGUGUCUUGUGGAAACAUGUUCGAUUCUUGGCAUCUCCAAAUGUAAGCUGACAGCUCUCACUCAGCCGGCCUUGAUUGUUGCUCCGGCAGUUGCUCCACCAGCAGCUUCUCGCGCAACAGAUAUUGCAUGGGUUUCAUCUUCACCGCUGGGAUUUGCGGGGAUUUUUUAAGCUCGUCCUCGUCUUUGCCCAGGGAUCCGGCGAGUGGAUCCGGCGAGAGCGCGGAGGAAGCUAACGAGAAGUGGGAGCGAAGGCUGACGGAUCGUCGGUACAAGUGCAGCCCUGUCCGGCAUCUCAACGGUGGCCAUCGCAUCGAAAACGAGUGCGCCGAGUCUGGCUUCGAUCGCCCAAGAUACGAUGUAGUUUUGUAUGACUUUGAACCUGACCUGAAACGGGCCUGCCGUUCGUUGUGUAUGCGAAUAUGGUCACUGCGUUCCACUAGAUUUUCGAACGCUUGCUUCAGACAGUUGCAUCCACAGAGCAUGGCAAUGACAACGAGAUUGAUGGUGAUGACGAUGACGAUAACGGUACAAAUGAGUUGCAGGUGGCGACCGACUGUGCCUUUGAGGAGGAGAAGGCCACAUAAGCCUUAAAGGAACUCGCUGUGGGUUCAAGCAAGGUCUUCGCACGCCAGAUCUUGUCAGGGUCUCACCUUCGCCGCUGGCAUUUACUGGUAUUUGUUGAGGUCAUCCUCGUCCUUGACCAGCGAGCGGCGAGUGGAUCCGGCGAGAGCGGGAAGGAAGCUAACGAAUGGUGGGAAGAAGAGGACCGUGCCUGGCUUGUCGAGCAGUAGUCUUGCCAACCCGGCAUGGAGAAGUGCACCAAGUGAGACCGAAGGCUGUCUCAUCUACCAAAGACCAGCUUUGUGGAUUGGUACAACGUAUUUCUGCCAUUGAUCGAUACAACAGAGAAUUUCAUUCACAAAUAUAUACAAAUUAACAGUUGAAAA
rnacentral:sRNA from 1 species